rnacentral:rRNA from 1 species
AACGAACGCUGGCGGCAGGCUUAACACAUGCAAGUCGAACGCCCCGCAAGGGGAGUGGCAGACGGGUGAGUAACGCGUGGGAACAUACCCUUUCCUGCGGAAUAGCUCCGGGAAACUGGAAUUAAUACCGCAUACGCCCUACGGGGGAAAGAUUUAUCGGGGAAGGAUUGGCCCGCGUUGGAUUAGGUAGUUGGUGGGGUAAAGGCCUACCAAGGCGACGAUCCAUAGCUGGUCUGAGAGGAUGAUCAGCCACAUUGGGACUGAGACACGGCCCAAACUCCUACGGGAGGCAGCAGUGGGGAAUAUUGGACAAUGGGCGCAAGCCUGAUCCUGCCAUGCCGCGUGAGUGAUGAAGGCCUUAGGGUUGUAAAGCUCUUUCACCGAUGAAGAUAAUGACGGUAGUCGGAGAAGAAGCCCCGGCUAACUUCGUGCCAGCAGCCGCCGUAAAAC